rnacentral:lncRNA from 1 species
AUGCGGCCUGCUGCUAGAGAGCAGGGCCGGUCCAGAGACGGCAGAGGUGUGACAGCGACGCCUCUCACCUCUCCCGCUCGCCCCCCAACUGACUCCAGGUUGUCCCCGCCAGCCCGGGCACCCAGCCCCUGGGGCCUGCGCUGCCACCCCUCUCGGCCUCCUCGCAGGCCGGCCACACGCAGCUCCCGUUCGGCGAGCCCCGGCCUGGGACCUCGGCCAGCCCUGGCGCCGAGAAGGUCGGAGAAAUGGGGGGCCGGAUCUCAGAUGACGGCACAAUGGGCCAGGCCUUGGGAGACAGCUGGAGGGGACCCCAACCCCAAAAUCAGUCCCGGUCCCUGCCCUUCCCCCACCUCCACCCCACCCCCAGCCCCAGGCAUUAGGCUCGGUUUCUCGGGAUCCUGGGCGUUUGCUCAGACCCCGCACAGACUCGCUCACAUUACUUUUUUAAAACAAAAGCAAUUAGAUUUCAAUCCUGGUUCAUUUGCAUUUGCACCUCGGAAACUGGAGAAGGAGGUUGCGGGAGCGAAGGAGAGGGGAGCCCGGCGGCGGCGGGUGACACCUUCCGAGCGCCACAGCUGGCCCGGACUGCCAUUGCGCCGGCCACAUCUGGCCCGGCCGCGCGGCCGCCGCGGCCCCCUCCCCGCCCGCUCCCGGGCCCGCGCGCCGCAGCCCGCUCGGCGGCGCGCUCAUCGAUCGCCGGGGCCGCAGCCGGGCGAGCGGAGAACAAGUGAUUCAUUCAACAUGGCAGUUCCCAUACUCAUCGCACAAGGCGUGGACGACACAAAGAGAUGGCUUGCCUGCAAGAGACCCAGCUGGUCCAGAGUCGGAGGCACAUUUCAUUUCUCUGGCCAGCUGGAGAGGCGGCCGGAGCAGACGAGGAGAUCGCCUCUAAUGUUCUAAAUGUCAAUAUGGUCCCUACUGGCUGACUCGCCAAGAUUUGAUCAGCAAAUUGGCCUGCGUGAUGUGUUCCCUGCAAUGCACGGUGUGUGUUUAAAUCUUUCAACAGUGUCAUGAAAGAAGCUGAAGAACAGUAAACAAUUCUCAGUGGAAGUGGUUCUGAAACCUUUCUCCUGUGGCUUCUGAGCAGCUUCCUGUCUCUCUGGGGUUCGGGUUUCAAUAGGGUUGUCUCCUUGGGCCCUAAUUAGGUUGAGGAAGGGACCAGCUCCAUUUGGGAUGCCAUGGUCGCCUAUGGCGAGCUUCUCCACGUGCCGUGGUCCCAUGUAAUGCCAGCUCUCCAGGGGGACAAAGGUCAGGCCUAGACUGAGGUCUGCCCAGUGUUUCCAGAGUGUUAUAUGUGCCAGGGAAGAAACCAAAUUAUGGGCUAAACUAACCUAAACUACUAGAGGUUUCCAUUCACUCAUUCACUCGCUUUUUCACUCAGAAAUUGGCCAACCAGGCAACAAUAAGUGCCUGGUUUCUGUUGACCUUGCCUCUUUCCCAUUGCCAAGAGGCAAGAGAACUGAAAUGCGUGAUUCUUUUCCAGCAUCUUCUGCAAUCAGGAUGGGAGUACCCAGGUCAUCAUGAGGAGGGCAGUCUGGGGGCCCAGAUGCUUUGCUUAUAGAGUCUCUUCAUGAGAAGCAUGACCAAGUGUUUCUGGGGCCCAGGCAGUCUCUGGGAGCUGGACCCACACUGGCCCAUCAGCCUGCCCAUAUUCACAGAACUCCUGAGUUGUCAGGUCUGGAGGGCAGAGGCUGGGAGACCUCGGCUCUGGCACUGUGCUCUGAUCAUAGUACCGAAUAAAACCGAAUCACACAAAGAAACCCA